GACGAACCGUGCGAACGUUGUUCGGAUUCACUGGGCUUAAAGGGCGCGUAGGCGGCGGAGCAAGUCCGGGGUGAAAUCUUUCGGCUCAACCGGAAAAUUGCCUUGGAUACUGCUUCGCUCGAGGGAGGUAGGGGCAGCUGGAACAUCCAGUGGAGCGGUGAAAUGCGUUGAUAUUGGAUGGAACGCCGGUGGCGAAAGCGAGCUGCUGGAUCUCUUCUGACGCUGAGGCGCGAAAGCCAGGGGAGCGAACGGG
rnacentral:rRNA from 1 species